rnacentral:lncRNA from 1 species
AUUUUUCUAGCAUAUUCCAUUUCAGGAAGAGAGCAUCUAUCCUUUUCAGGCAAGUCCGGUUCUCGACAUUCCAUUUAUGGAAAUUUGCCAUUUCUGUUUAAUUCCAUAUUAGGCAGGUUCUUACUUAAUGCAUUUGUGGUUAUUUUUCUACUGCAACGUAGACAUAUUAUAUAUGUUUUUGGGGUAGAAAAAUCCCACCAAUCCAGUGGUUGCAUUAGUUUCAUCGUUUGAGCAAGUUUGCACACAUGUCAUUUUACAUCACAUUGCUGUUUUGGCAUUUAUGUGGAUAAUUAUGCAAAUAUGAGAUGUGAUAACUUUGUACAUGAACAUGCUCCUUUACAUGCCAUAUUAUUGCUAGAAUUUUUUUCAUGCUAUGAAAUGCAUUGUAUUGAGUGCAACAAGCUUGCAAACAUGCCUACUCAAAUCAGUUUCUGCCAUGUCAUGCUCAUUUUGCUAUGUCUAAAACUGUCAGCACAACUUGUCAUUUCGCAUUGAUGCUAUCGUCAUAUCUGUAUAUCCUUGGAGCAUGGUCAGUGAGGUAGGGCCCCACAUGUCAUACUCUCACAUGGGACCAUGCCCCACCUGUGUCAUCCCCUUUUCCCUCUGUUUUUCUUUUUGUUUAUUUCAUUUUUCCAGCAUAUUCCAUUUCAGGCAGAGAGCAUCUAUCCUUUUCAGGCAACUCCAGUUCUGGACAUUCCAUUUUUGGAAAUUUGCCAUUUCGGUUUAAUUCCAUAUUAGGCAGGUUCUAACUUAAUGCAUUUGUGGUUAUUUUUCUACUGCAACAUAGACAUAUUAUAUAUGUUUUUGGGGUAGAAAAAUCCCACCAAUCUAGUCGUUGCAUUAGUUUCAUCAUUUGAGCAAGUUUGCACAUAUGUCAUUUUACAUCACAUUGCUGUUUGUGCAUUGAUGUGGAUAAUUAUGCAAAUAUGAUAUGUGAUAACUUUGUACAUGAACAUGCUCCUCUACAUGCCAUAUUAUUGCUAGAAUUUGUUUCAUGCUAUGAAAUGCAUUGUAUUGAGUGCAAGAAGCUUGCAAACAUGCCUACUCAAAUCUGUUUCUGCCAUGUCAUGCUUAUUUUGCUAAGUCUGAAACUGUCAGCACAAUUUGUCAUUUCGCAUUCAUGCUACCAUCAUAUCUAUAUAUAUCCUUGGAGCAUGGUCAGUGAGGAAGGGCCCCACAUGUCAUACUCUCACAGGGGACCAUGCCCCACCUGUGUCAUCCCCUUUUCCCUCUGUUUUUCUUUUUGUUUAUUUCAGUUUUCCAGCAUAUUCCAUUUCAGGUAGAGAGCAUCUAUCCUUUUCAGGCAAGUCCAGUUCUGGACAUUCCAUUUAUGGAAAUUUGCCAUUUCUGUUUAAUUCCAUAUUAGGCAGGUUCUAACUUAAUGCAUUUGUUUUUAGUUUUCUACUGCAACAUAGACACAUUAUAUAUGUUUUUGGGGUAAAAAAAUCGCACCAAUCCAGUGGUUGCAUUAGUUUCAUCAUUUGAGCAAGUUUGCACACAUGUCAUUUUACAUCACAUUGUUGUUUUGGCAUUUAUGUGGAUAAUUAUGCAAAUAUGACAUGUGAUAACUUUGUACAUGAACAUGCUCCUUUGCAUGCCAUAUUAUUGCUAGAAUUUGUUUCAUGCUAUGAAAUGCAUUGUAUUGAGGUGCAACAACCUUGCAAACAUGCCUACUCAAAUCUGUUUCUGCCAUGUCAUGCUUAUUUUGCUAAGUCUGUAACUGUCAGCACAACUUGUCAUUUCGCAUUAAUGCUAUCAUCAUAUCUGUAUAUCCUUGGAGCAUGGUCAGUGAGGUACGGCCCCACAUGUCAUACUCUCACAGGGGACCAUGCCCCACCUGUGUCAUCCCCUUUUCCCUCUGUUUUUCUUUUCGUUUAUUUCAUUUUUCAGCAUAUUCCAUUUCAGGCAGAGAGCAUCUAUCCUUUUCAGGCAACUCCAGUUCUGGACAUUCCAUUUUUGGAAAUUUGCCAUUUCGGUUUAAUUCCAUAUUAGGCAGGUUCUAACUUAAUGCAUUUGUGGUCAUUUUUCUACUGCAACAUAGACAUAUUAUAUAUGUUUUUGGGGUAGAAAAAUCCCACCAAUCUAGUGGUUGCAUUAGUCUCAUCAUUUGAGCAAGUUUGCACACAUGUCAUUUUACAUCACAUUGCUGUUUGUGCAUUGAUGUGGAUAAUUAUGCAAAUAUGAUAUGUGAUAACUUUGUACAUGAACAUGCUCCUCUACAUGCCAUAUUAUUGCUAGAAUUUGUUUCAUGCUAUGAAAUGCAUUGUAUUGAGUGCAAGAAGCUUGCAAACAUGCCUACUCAAAUCUGUUUCUGCCAUGUCAUGCUUAUUUUGCUAAGUCUAAAACUGUCAGCACAACUUGUCAUUUCGCAUUGAUGCUAUCAUCAUAUCUGUAUAUCCUUGGAGCAUGGUCAGUGAGGAAGGGCCCCUCUCACAGGGGACCACGCCCCACCUGUGUCAUUCCCUUUUCCCUCUGUUUUUCUUUUUGUUUAUUUCAUUUUUCUAGCAUAUUCCAUUUCAGGCAGAGAGCAUCUAUCCUUUUCAGGCAAGUCCAGUUCUGAUCAUUCCAUUUAUGGAAAUUUGCCAUUUCUGUUUAAUUCCGUAUUAGGCAGGUUCUAACUUAAUGCAUUUGUGGUUAUUUUUCUACUGCAACAUAGACAUAUUAUAUAUGUUUUUGGGGUAGAAAAAUCCCACCAAUCCAGUGGUUGAAUUAGUUUCAUCAUUUGAGCAAGUUUGCACACAUGUCAUUUUACAUCACAUUGCUGUUUUGGCAUUUAUGUGGAUAAUUCUGCAAAUAUGAUAUGUGAUAACUUUGUACAUGCACAUUCUCCUUUACAUGCCAUAUUAUUGCUAGAAUUUGUUUCAUGCUAUGAAAUGCUUUGUAUUGAGUGCAACAAGCUUACAAACAUGCCUACUCAAAUCUGUUUCUGCGAUGUCAUGCUUACUUUGCUAAGUUUGAAACUCUCAGCACAAAUUGUCAUUUCGCAUUGAUGCUAUCAUCAUAUCUGUAUAUCCUUGGAGCAUGGUCAGUGAGGAAGGGCCCCAAAUGUCAUACUCUCACAUGGGACAAUGCCCCACCUGUGUCAUCCCCUUUUCCCUCUGUUUUUCUUUUUGUUUAUUUCAUUUUUCCAGCAUAUUCCAUUUCAGGCAGAGAGCAUCUAUCCUUUUCAGGCAAGUCUAGUUCUGGACAUUCCAUUUAUGAAACUUUGCCAUAUCUGUUUAUUUCCAUAUUAGGCAGGUUCUAACUUAAUGCAUUUGUGGUUAUUUUUCUACUGCAACAUAGACAUAUUAUAUAUGUUUUUGGGGUAGAAAAAUCCCACCAAUCCAUUGGUUGCGUUAGUUUCAUCAUUUGAGCAAGUUUGCAUAGAUGUCAUUUUACAUCACAUUGUUGUUUUGGCAUUUAUGUGGAUAAUUACGAAAAUAUGAUAUGUGAUAACUUUGUACAUGAACAUGCUCCUUUACAUGCCAUAUUAUUGCUAGAAUUUAUUUCAUCCUAUGAAAUGCAUUGUAUUGAGUGCAACAAGCUUGCAAACAUGCCUACUCAAAUCUGUUUCUGCCAUGUCAUGCUUAUUUUGCUAAGUCUGAAACUGUGAGCACAACUUGUCAUUUUGCAUUGAUGCUAUCAUCAUAUCUGUAUAUCCUUGGAGCAUGGUCAGUGAGGAAGGGCCCCACAUGUCAUACUCUUACAUGGGACCAGGCCCACCUGUGUCAUCCCCUUUUCCAUCUGUUUUUUCUUUUUGUUUAUUUCAUUAUUCCAGCAAAUUCCAUUUCACGCAGAGAGCAUCUAUCCUUUUCAGGCAACUCCAGUUCUGGACAUUCCAUUUAUGGAAAUUUGCCAUUUCUGUUUAAUUCCGUAUUAGGCAGGUUCUAAGUUAAUGCAUUUGUGGUUAUUUUUCUACUGCAACAUAGACAUAUUAUAUAUGUUUUUGGGGUAGAAAAAUCCCACCAAUCCAGUGGUUGCAUUAGUUUCAUCAUUUGAGCAAGUUUGCACACAUGUCAUUUUACAUCACAUAUCUGUUUUGGCAUUUAUGUGGAUAAUUAUGCAAAUAUGAUAUGUGAUAUCUUUGUACAUGAACAUGCUCCUUUACAUUCAAUAUUAUUGCUAGAAUUUGUUUCAUGCUAUGUAAUGCAUUGUAUUGAGUGCAAGAAGCUUGCAAACAUGCCUACUCAAAUCUGUUUCUACCAUGUCAUGCUUAUUUUGCUAAGUCUGAAACUCUCAGCACAACUUGUCAUUUCGCAUUCAUGCUAUCAUCAUAUCUAUAUAUAUCCUUGGAGCAUUGUCAGUGAGGAAGGGCCCCACGUGUCAUACUCUCACAGGGGACUAUGCCCCACCUGUGUCAUCCCCUUUUCCCUCUGUUUCUGUUUUUGUUUAUUUCAGUUUUCCAGCAUAUUCCAUUUCAGGUAGAGAGCAUCUACCCUUUUCAGGCAAGUCCAGUUCUGGACAUUCCAUUUAUGGAAAUUUGCCAUUUCUGUUUAAUUCCAUAUUAGGCAGGUUCUAACUUAAUGCAUUUGUUGUUAUUUUUCUACUGCAACAUAGACACAUUAUAUAUUUUUUUGGGGUAAAAAAAUCCCACCAAUCCAGUGGUUGCAUUAGUUUCAUCAUUUGAGCAAGUUUGCACACAUGUCAUUAUACAUCACAUUGUUGUUUUGGCAUUCAUGUGGAUAAUUAUGCAAAUAUGACAUGUGAUAACUUUGUACAUGAACAUGCUCCUUUGCAUGCCAUAUUAUUGCUAGAAUUUGUUUCAUGCUAUGAAAUGCAUUGUAUUGAGUGCAACAACCUUGCAAACAUGCCUACUCAAAUCUGUUUCUGCCAUGUCAUGCUUAUUUUGCUAAGUCUGAAACUGUCAGCACAACUUGUCAUUUCGCAUUAAUGCUAUCAUCAUAUCUGUAUAUCCUUGGAGCAUGGUCAGUGAGGUACGGACCCACAUGUCAUACUCUCACAGGGGACCAUGCCCCACCUGUGUCAUCCCCUUUUCCCUCUGUUUUUCUUUUCGUUUAUUUCAUUUUUCCAGCAUAUUCCAUUUCAGGCAGAGAGCAUCUAUCCUUUUCAGGCAACUCCAGUUCUGGACAUUCCAUUUUUGGAAAUUUGCCAUUUCGGUUUAAUUCCAUAUUAGGCAGGUUCUAACUUAAUGCAUUUGUGGUUAUUUUUCUACUGCAACAUAGACAUAUUAUAUAUGUUUUUGGGGUAGAAAAAUCCCACCAAUCUAGUCGUUGCAUUAGUUUCAUCAUUUGAGCAAGUUUGCACAUAUGUCAUUUUACAUCACAUUGCUGUUUGUGCAUUUAUGUGGAUAAUUAUGCAAAUAUGAUAUGUGAUAACUUUGUACAUGAACAUGCUCCUUUACAUGCCAUAUUAUUGCUAGAAUUUGUUUCAUGCUAUGAAAUGCAUUGUAUUGAGUGCAAGAAGCUUGCAAACAUGCCUACUCAAAUUUGUUUCUGCCAUGUCAUGCUUAUUUUGCUAAGUCUGAAACUGUCAGCACAACUUGUCAUUUUGCAUUGAUGCUAUCAUCAUAUCUGUAUAUCCUUGGAGCAUGGUCAGUGAGGAAGGGCCCCACAUGUCAUACUCUCACAUGGGUCCAUGCCCCACCUGUGUCAUCCCCUUUUCCCUCUGUUUUUCUUUUUGUUUAUUUCAUUUUUCCAGCAUAUUCCAGUUCAGGCAGAGAGCAUCUAUCCUUUUCAGGCAAGUCCAGUUCUGGACAUUCCAUUUAUGGAAAUUUGCCAUAUCUGUUUAAUUCCGUAUUAGGCAGGUUCUAACUUAAUGCAUUUGUGGUUAUUUUUCUACUGCAACAUAGACAUAUUAUAUAAGUUUUUGGGGUAGAAAAAUCCCACCAAUCCAGUGGUUGCAUUAGUUUCAUCAUUUGAGCAAGUUUGCACACAUGUCAUUUUACAUCACAUUGCUGUUUUGGCAUUUAUGUGGAUAAUUAUGGAAAUAUGAUAUGUGAUAACUUUGUACAUGAACAUGCUCCUUUACAUUCAAUAUUAUUGCUAGAAUUUGUUUCAUGCUAUGUAAUGCAUUGUAUUGAGUGCAAGAAGCUUGCAAACAUGCCUACUCAAAUCUGUUUCUACCAUGUCAUGCUUAUUUUGCUAAGUCUGAAACUCUCAGCACAACUUGUCAUUUCGCAUUCAUGCUAUCAUCAUAUCUAUAUAUAUCCUUGGAGCAUGGUCAGUGAGGAAGGGCCCCACAUGUCAUACUCUCAAAGGGGACUAUGCCCCACCUGUGUCAUCCCCUUUUCCCUCUGUUUUUGUUUUUGUUUAUUUCAGUUUUCCAGCAUAUUCCAUUUCAGGAGAGAGCAUCUAUCCUUUUCAGGCAACUCCAGUUCUGGACAUUCCAUUUAUGGAAAUUUGCCAUUUCUGUUUAAUUCCAUAUUAGGCAGGUUCUAACUUAAUGCAUUUGUGGUUAUUUUUCUACUGCAACAAAGACACAUUAUAUAUGUUUUUGGGGUAGAAAAAUCCCACCAAUCCAGUGGUUGCAUUAGUUUCAUCAUUUGAGCAAGUUUGCACACAUGUCAUUUUACAUCACAUUGCUGUUUUGGCAUUUAUGUGGAUAAUUCUGCAAAUAUGAUAUGUGAUAACUUUGUACAUGCACAUUCUCCUUUACAUGCCAUAUUAUUGCUAGAAUUUGUUUCAUGCUAUGAAAUGCUUUGUAUUGAGUGCAACAAGCUUACAAACAUGCCUACUCAAAUCUGUUUCUGCGAUGUCAUGCUUACUUUGCUAAGUUUGAAACUCUCAGCACAAAUUGUCAUUUCGCAUUGAUGCUAUCAUCAUAUCUGUAUAUCCUUGGAGCAUGGUCAGUGAGGAAGGGCCCCACAUGUCAUACUCUCAGAUGGGACCAUGCCCCACCUGUGUCAUCCCCUUUUCCCUCUGUUUUUCUUUUUGUUUAUUUCAUUUUUCCAGCAUAUUCCAUUUCAGGCAGAGAGCAUCUAUCCUUUUCAGGCAAGUCCAGUUCUGGACAUUCCAUUUAUGGAAAUUUGCCAUAUCUGUUUAAUUCCAUAUUAGGCAGGUUCUAACUUAAUGCAUUUGUGGUUAUUUUUCUACUGCAACAUAGACAUAUUAUAUAUCUUUUUGGGGUAGAAAAAUCCCACCAAUCCAUUGGUUGCGUUAGUUUCAUCAUUUGAGCAAGUUUGCACAGAUGUCAUUUUACAUCACAUUGUUGUUUUGGCAUUUAUGUGGAUAAUUAUGCAAAUAUGAUAUGUGAUAACUUUGUACAUGAGCAUGCUCCUUUACAUGCCAUAUUAUUGCUAGAAUUUAUUUCAUGCUAUGAAAUGCAUUGUAUUGAGUGCAACAAGCUUGCAAACAUGCCUACUCAAAUCUGUUUCUGCCAUGUCAUGCUUAUUUUGCUAAGUCUGAAACUGUCAGCACAACUUGUCAUUUUGCAUUGAUGCUAUCAUCAUAUCUGUAUAUCCUUGGAGCAUGGUCAGUGAGGAAGGGCCCCACAUGUCAUACUCUCACAGGGGACCAUGCCCACCUGUGUCAUCCAAUUUUCCAUCUGUUUUUUCUUUUUGUUUAUUUCAUUAUUCCAGCAUAUUCCAUUUCACGCAGAGAGCGUCUAUCCUUUUCAGACAACUCCAGUUCUGGACAUUCCAUUUAUGGAAAUUUGCCAUUUCUGUUUAAUUCCGUAUUAGGCAGGUUCUAACUUAAUGCAUUUGUGGUUAUUUUUCAACUACAACAUAGACAUAUUAUAUAUGUUUUUGGGGUAGAAAAAUCCCACCAAUCCAGUGGUUGCAUUAGUUUCAUCAUUUGAGCAAGUUUGCACACAUGUCAAUUUACAUCACAUUGCUGUUUUGGCAUUUAUGUGGAUAAUUAUGCAAAUAUGAUAUGUGAUAACUUUGUACAUGAACAUGCUCCUUUACAUUCAAUAUUAUUGCUAGAAUUUGUUUCAUGCUAUGUAAUGCAUUGUAUUGAGUGCAAGAAGCUUGCAAACAUGCCUACUCAAAUCUGUUUCUACCAUGUCAUGCUUAUUUUGCUAAGUCUGAAACUCUCAGCACAACUUGUCAUUUCGCAUUCAUGCUAUCAUCAUAUCUAUAUAUAUCCUUGGAGCAUGGUCAGUGAGGAAGGGCCCCACAUGUCAUACUCUCAUAGGGGACUAUGCCCCACCUGUGUCAUCCCCUUUUCCCUCUGUUUUUGUUUUUGUUUAUUUCAGUUUUCCAGCAUAUUCCAUUUCAGGUAGAGAGCAUCUAUCCUUUUCAGGCAAGUCCAGUUCUGGACAUUCCAUUUAUGGAAAUUUGCCAUUUCUGUUUAAUUCCAUAUUAGGCAGGUUCUAACUUAAUGCAUUUGUGGUUAUUUUUCUACUGCAACAUAGACACAUUAUAUAUGUUUUUGGGGUAAAAAAAUCCCACCAAUCCAGUGGUUGCAUUAGUUUCAUCAUUUGAGCAAGUUUGCACACAUGCAUUUUACAUCACAUUGUUGUUUUGGCAUUUAUGUGGGUAAUUAUGCAAAUAUGACAUGUGAUAACUUAGUACAUGAACAUGCUCCUUUGCAUGCCAUAUUAUUGCUAGAAUUUGUUUCAUGUUAUGAAAUGCAUUGUAUUGACUGCAACAACCUUGCAAACAUGCCUACUCAAAUCUGUUUCUGCCAUGUCAUGCUUAUUUUGCUAAGUCUGAAACUAUCAGCACAACUUGUAAUUUCGCAUUAAUGCUAUCAUCAUAUCUGUAUAUCCUUGGAGCAUGGUCACUGAGGUAGGGCCCCACAUGUCAUACUCUCACAGGGGACCAUGCCCCACCUGUGUCAUCCCCUUUUCCCUCUGUUUUUCUUUUCGUUUAUUUCAUUUUUCCAGCAUAUUCCAUUUCAGGCAAAGAGCAUCUAUCCUUUUCAGGCAACUCCAGUUCUGGACAUUCCAUUUUUGCAAAUUUGCCAUUUCGGUUUAAUACCAUAUUAGGCAGGUUCUAACUUAAUGCAUUUGUGGUUAUUUUUCUACUGCAACAUAGACAUAUUAUAUAUGUUUUUGGGGUAGAAAAAUCCCACCAAUCUAGUGGUUGUAUUAGUUUCAUCAGUUGAGCAAGUUUGCACACAUGUCAUUUUACAUCACAUUGCUGUUUGUGCAUUUAUGUGGAUAAUUAUGCAAAUAUGAUAUGUGAUAACUUUGUACAUGAACAUGCUCCUUUACAUGCCAUAUUAUUGCUAGAAUUUGUUUCAUGCUAUGAAAUGCAUUGUAUUGAGUGCAAGAAGCUUGCAAACAUGCCUACUGAAAUCUGUUUCUACCAUGUCAUGCUUAUUUUGCUAAGUCUGAAACUGUCAGCACAACUUGUCAUUUUGCAUUGAUGCUAUCAUCAUAUCUGUAUAUCCUUGGAGCAUGGUCAGUGAGGAAGGGCCCCACAUGUCAUACUCUCACAGGAGACCAUGCCCCACCUGUGUCAUCCCCUUUUCCCUCUGUUUUUCUUUUUGUUUAUUUCAUUUUUCCAGCAUAUUCCAUUUCAGGCAGAGAGCAACUAUCCUUUUCAGGCAAGUCUAGUUCUGAUCAUUCCAUUUAUGGAAAUUUGCCAUUUCUGUUUAAUUCCGUAUUAGGCAGGUUCUAACUUAAUGCAUUUGUGGUUAUUUUUCUACUGCAACAUAGACAUAUUAUAUAUGUUUUUGGGGUAGAAAAAUCCCACCAAUCCAAUGGUUGCAUUAGUCUCAUCAUUUGAGCAAGUUUGCACACAUGUCAUUUUACAUCACAUUGCUGUUUUGGCAUUUAUGUGGAUAAUUAUGCAAAUAUGAUAUGUGAUAACUUUGUACAUGAACAUUCUCCUUUACAUGCCAUAUUAUUGCUAGAAUUUAUUUCAUGCUAUGAAAUGCAUUGUAUUGAGUGCAACAAGCUUGCAAACAUGCCUACUCAAAUCUGUUUCUGCCAUGUCAUGCUUAUUUUGCUAAGUCUGAAACUGUGAGCACAACUUGUCAUUUUGCAUUGAUGCUAUCAUCAUAUCUGGAUAUCCUUGUAGCAUGGUUAGUGAGGAAGGGCCCCACAUGUCAUACUCUCACAGGGGACCAUGCCCACCUGUGUCAUCCCCUUUUCCAUCUGUUUUUCUUUUUGUUUAUUUCAUUAUUCCAGCAUAUUCCAUUUCACGCAGAGAGCAGCUAUCCUUUUCAGGCAACUCCAGUUCUGGACAUUCCAUUUAUGGAAAUUUGCCAUUUCUGUUUAAUUCCGUAUUAGGCAGGUUCUAACUUAAUGCAUUUGUGGUUAUUUUUCUACUGCAACAUAGACAUAUUAUAUAUGUUUUUGGGGUAGAAAAAUUCCACUAAUCCAGUGGUUGCAUUAGUUUCAUCAUUUGAGCAACUUUGCAACCAUGUCAUUUUACAUCACAUUGCUGUUUUGGCAUUUAUGUGGAUAAUUAUGCAAAUAUGAUAUGUGAUAACUUUGUACAUGAACAUGCUCCUUUACAUUUAAUAUUAUUGCUAGAAUUUGUUUCAUGCUAUGUAAUGCAUUGUAUUGAGUGCAAGAAGCUUGCAAACAUGCCUACUCAAAUCUGUUUCUACCAUGUCAUGCUUAUUUUGCUAAGUCUGAAACUGUCAGCACAACUUGUCAUUUCGCAUUGAUGCUAUCAUCAUAUCUGUAUAUCCUUGGAGCAUGGUCAGUGAGGAAGGGCCCCACAUGUCAUACUCUCACAUGGGACCAUGCCCCACCUGUGUCAUCCCCUUUUCCCUCUGUUUUUCUUUUUGUUUAUUUAAUUUUUCCAGCAUAUUCCAUUUCAGGCAGAGAGCAUCUAUCCUUUUCAGGCAAGUCCAGUUCUGGACAUUCCAUUUAUGGAAAUUUGCCAUAUCUGUUUAAUUCCAUAUUAGGCAGGUUCUAACUUAAUGCAUUUGUGGUUAUUUUUCUACUACAACAUAUACAUAUUAUAUAUGUUUUUGGGGUAGAAAAAUCCCACCAAUCAAGUGGUUGCAUUAGUUUCAUCAUUUGAGCAAGUUUGCACACAUGUCAUUUUACAUCACAUUGCUGUUUUGGCAUUUAUGUGGAUAAUUAUGCAAAUAUGAUAUGUGAUAACUUUGUACAUGAACAUGCUCCUUUACAUUCAAUAUUAUUGCUAGAAUUUGUUUCAUGCUAUGUAAUGCAUUGUACUGAUUGCAAGAAGCUUGCAAACAUGCCUACUCAAAUCUGUUUCUACCAUGUCAUGCUUAUUUUGCUAAGUCUGAAACUCUCAGCACAACUUGUCAUUUCGCAUUCGUGCUAUCAUCAUAUCUAUAUAUAUCCUUGGAGCAUGGUCAGUGAGGAAGGGCCCCACAUGUCAUACUCUCACAGGGGACUAUGCCCCACCUGUGUCAUCCCCUUUUCCCUCUGUUUUUGUUUUUGUUUAUUUCAGUUUUCCAGCAUAUUCCAUUUCAGUUAGAGAGCAUCUAUCCUUUUCAGGCAAGACCAGUUCUGGACAUUCCAUUUAUGGAAAUUUGCCAUUUCUAUUUAAUUCCAUAUUAGGCAGGUUCUAACUUAAUGCAUUUGUGGUUAUUUUUCUACUGCAACAAAGACACAUUAUAUAUGUUUUUGGGGUAGAAAAAUCCCACCAAUCCAGUGGUUGCAUUAGUUUCAUCAUUUGAGCAAGUUUGCACACAUGUCAUUUUACAUCACAUUGUUGUUUUGGCAUUUAUGUGGAUAAUUAUGCAAAUAUGACAUGUGAUAACUUUGUACAUGAACAUGCUCCUUUGCAUGCCAUAUUAUUGCUAGAAUUUGUUUCAUGCUAUGAAAUGCAUUGUAUUGAGUGCAACAACCUUGCAAACAUGCCUACUCAAAUCUGUUUCUGCCAUGUCAUGCUUAUUUUGCUAAGUCUGAAACUGUCAGCAUAACUUGUCAUUUCGCAUUCAUGCUAUCAUCAUAUCUGUAUAUCCUUGGAGCAUGGUCAGUGAGGUAGGGCCCCACAUGUCAUACUCUCACAGGGGACCAUGCCCCACCUGUGUCAUCCCCUUUUCCCUCUGUUUUUCUUUUCGUUUAUUUCAUUUUUCCAGCAUAUUCCAUUUCAGGCAGAGAGCAUCUAUCCUUUUCAGGCAACUCCAGUUCUGGACAUUCCAUUUUUGGAAAUUUACCAGUUCGGUUUAAUUCCAUAUUAGGCAGGUUCUAACUUAACGCAUUUGUGGUUAUUUUUCUUUUGCAACAUAGACAUAUUAUAUAUGUUUUUGGGGUAGAAAAAUCCCACCAAUCUAGUGGUUGCAUUAGUUUCAUCAUUUGAGCAAGUUUGCACACAUGUCAUUUUACAUCACAUUGCUGUUUAUGCAUUUGUGUGGAUAAUUAUGCAAAUAUGAUAUGUGAUAACUUUGUACAUGAACAUGCUCCUUUACAUGCCAUAUUAUUGAUAGAAUUGGUUUCAUGCUAUGAAAUGCAUUGUAUUGAGUGCAAGAAGCUUGCAAACAUGCCUACUGAAAUCUGUUUCUACCAUGUCAUUCUUAUUUUGCUAAGUCUGAAACUGUCAGCACAACUUGUCAUUUCGCAUUGAUGCUAUCAUCAUAUUUGUAUAUCCUUGGAGCAUGGUCAGUGAGGAAGGGCCCCUCUCACUGGGGACCAUGCCCCACCUGUGUCAUCCCCUUUUCCCUCUGUUUUUCUUUUUGUUUAUUUCAUUUUUCCAGCAUAUUCCAUUUCAGGCAGAGAGCAACUAUCCUUUUCAGGCAAGUCUUGUUCUGAUCAUUCCAUUUAUGGAAAUUUGCCAUUUCUGUUUAAUUCCGUAUUAGGCAGGUUCUAACUUAAUGCAUUUGUGGUUAUUUUUCUGCCGCAACAUAGACAUAUUAUAUAUGUUUUUGGGGUAGAAAAAUCCCACCAAUCCAGUGGUUGCAUUAGUUUCAUCAUUUGAGCAAGUUUGCACACAUGUCAUUUUACAUCACAUUGCUGUUUUGGCAUUUAUGUGGAUAAUUAUGCAAAUAUGAUAUGUGAUAACUUUGUACAUGAACAUGCUCCUUUGCAUGCCAUAUUAUUGCUAGAAUUUGUUUCAUGCUAUGAAAUGCAUUGUAUUGAGUGCAACAACCUUGCAAACAUGCCUACUCAAAUCUGUUUCUGCCAUGUCAUGCUUAUUUUGCUAAGUCUGAAACUGUCAGCACAACUUGUCAUUUCGCAUUGAUGCUAUCAUCAUAUCUGUAUAUCCUUGGAGCAUGGUCAGUAAGGACGGGCCCCACAUGUCAUACUCUCACAGGGGACCAUGCCCCACCUGUGUCAUCCCCUUUUCCCUCUGUUUUUCUUUUUGUUUAUUUCAUUUUUCCAGCAUAUUCCAUUUCAGGCAGAGAGCAUCUAUCCUUUUCAGGCUAGUCUAGUUCUGGACAUUCCAUUUAUGGAAAUUUUCCAUUUCUGUUUAAUAUCAUAUUAGGCAGGUUCUAACUUAAUGCAAUUGUGGUUAUUUUUCUACUGCAACAUAGACAUAUUAUAUAUGUUUUUGGGGUAAAAAAUCCCACCAAUCUAGUGGUUGCAUUAGUUUCAUCAUUUGAGCAAGUUUGCACAGAUGUCAUUUUACAUCACAUUGUUGUUUUGGCAUUUAUGUGGAUAAUUAUGCAAAUAUGACAUUUGAUAACUUUGUACAUGAACAUGCUCCUCUACAUGCCAUAUUAUUGCUAGAAUUUGUUUCAUGCUAUGAAAUGCAUUGUAUUGAGUGCAAGAAGCUUGCAAACAUGCCUACUCAAAUCUGUUUCUGCCAUGUCAUGCUUAUUUUGCUAAGUCUGAAACUCUCAGCACAACCUGUCAUUUCGCAUUGAUGCUAUCAUCAUAUCUGUAUAUCCUUGGAGCAUGGUCAGUGAGGAAGGGCCCCACAUGUCAUACUCUCGCAGGGGACCAUGCCCACCUGUGUCAUCCCCUUUUCCAUCUGUUUUUCUUUUUGUUUAUUUCAUUAUUCCAGCAUAUUCCAUUUCACGCAGAGAGCAUCUAUCCUUUUCAGGCAACUCCAGUUCUGGGAUUCCAUUUAUGGAAAUUUGCCAUUUCUGUUUAAUUCCGUAUUAGGCAGGUUCUAACUUAAUGCAUUUGUGGUUAUUUUUCUACUGCAUCAUAGACAUAUUAUAUAUGUUUUUGGGGUAGAAAAAUCCCACCAAUCCAGUGGUUGCAUUAGUUUCAUCAUUUCAGCAAGUUUGCACACAUGUCAUUUUACAUCACAUUGCUGUUUUGGCAUUUAUGUGGAUAAUUAUGCAAAUAUGAUAUGUGAUAACUUUGUACAUGAACAUGCUCCUUUACAUUCAAUAUUAUUUCUAGAAUUUGUUUCAUGCUAUGUAAUGCAUUGUACAUGCAUACUCAAAUCUGUUUCUGCCAUGUCAUGCUUAUUUUGCUAAGUCUGAAACUGUCAGCACAACUUGUCAUUUCGCAUUGAUGCUAUCAUCAUAUCUGUAUAUCCUUGGAGCAUGGUCAGUGAGGAAGGGCCCCACAUGUCAUACUUUCACAGGGGACCAUGCCCCACCUGUGUCAUCCCUUUUCCCUCUGUUUUUCUUUUUGUUUAUUUCAUUUUUCCAGCAUAUUCCAUUUCAGGCAGAGAGCAUCUAUCCUUUCCAGGCUAGUCCAAUUCUGGACAUUCCAUUUAUGGAAAUUUGCCAUUUCUGUUUAAUUCCAUAUUAGGCAGGUUCUAACUUAAUGCAUUUCUGGUUAUUUUUCUACUGCAACAUAGACAUAUUAUAUAUGUUUUUGGGGUAGAAAAAUCCCACCAAUCCAGUUGUUGCAUUAGUUUCAUCAUUUGAGCAAGUUUGCACACAUGUCAUUUUACAUCACAUUGCUGUUUUGGCAUUUAUGUGGAUAAUUAUGCAAAUAUGAUAUGUGAUAACUUUGUACAUGAACAUGCUCCUUUAGAUGCCAUAUUAUUGCUAGAAUUUGUUUCAUGCUAUGAAAUGCAUUGUAUUGAGUGCAACAAGCUUGCAAACAUGCCUACUCAAAUCUGUUUCUGCCAUGUCAUGCUUAUUUUGCUAAGUCUGAAACUGUCAGCACAAGUCAUUUCGCAUUGAUGCUAUCAUCAUAUCUGUAUAUCCUUGGAGCAUGGUCAGUGAGGAAGGGCCCCACAUGUCAUACUUUCACAGGGGAUCAUGCCCCACCUGUGUCAUCCCUUUUCCCUCUGUUUUUCUUUUUGUUUAUUUCAUUUUUCCAGCAUAUUCCAUUUCAGGCAGAGAGCAUCUAUCCUUUUCAGGCUAGUCCAGUUCUGGACAUUCCAUUUAUGGAAAUUUUCCAUUUCUGUUUAAUUCCAUAUUAGGCAGGUUCUAACUUAAUGCAUUUGUGGUUAUUUUUCUACUGCAACAUAGACAUAUUACAUAUGUUUUUGGGGUAAAAAAUCCCACCAAUCCAGUGGUUGCAUUAGUUUCAUCAUUUGAGCAAGUUUGCACACAUGUAAUUUUACAUCACAUUGUUGUUUUGGCAUUUAUGUGGAUAAUUAUGCAAAUAUGACAUUUGAUAACUUUGUACAUGAACAUGCUCCUUUACAUGCCAUAUUAUUGCUAGAAUUUGUUUCAUGCUAUGAAAUGCAUUGUAUUGAGUGCAAGAAGCUUGCAAACAUGCCUACUCAAAUCUGUUUCUGCCAUGUCAUGCUUAUUUUGCUAAGUCUGAAACUCUCAGCACAACCUGUCA